CUCGUAGGCGGUUCGUCACGUCCGGUGUGAAAGUCCAUCGCUUAACGGUGGAUCCGCGCCGGGUACGGGCGGGCUUGAGUGCGGUAGGGGAGACUGGAAUUCCCGGUGUAACGGUGGAAUGUGUAGAUAUCGGGAAGAACACCAACGGCGAAGGCAGGUCUCUGGGCCGUCACUGACGCUGAGGAGCGAAAGCGUGGGGAGCGAACA
rnacentral:rRNA from 1 species